UGGUUGUCGUCAGCUCGUGUCGUGAGAUGUUGGGUUAAGUCCCGCAACGAGCGCAACCCUUGAUCUUAGUUGCCAGCAUUAAGUUGGGCACUCUAAGGUGACUGCCGGUGACAAACCGGAGGAAGGUGGGGAUGACGUCAAAUCAUCAUGCCCCUUAUGACCUGGGCUACACACGUGCUACAAUGGAUGAUACAAAGGGUUGCGAAGCCGCGAGGUGAAGCUAAUCUCAUAAAAUCAUUCUCAGUUCGGAUUGUAGGCUGCAACUCGCCUACAUGAAGCUGGAAUCGCUAGUAAUCGCGGAUCAG
rnacentral:rRNA from 1 species